rnacentral:lncRNA from 1 species
GUGGGUUCUUGUCUCAAACACUCUUUCUCUGACGAUACAACAGAACACGAGGCAAAGGGGUGAAGCAACGACUGACAGGCAAGAAUAUCCUCGACUGUGACACCAGACUUCUCUGUCAGAAACCUCACCUGAUCCAGGCUCAAGAUCUCACGGCUGCUGAGAUUCCUGCUCCUUUUUUCGCUCCUCCUAAAGCAGAAACUUCCCUGGUGGUAACCUGGA